UACGUAGGGGCCAAGCGUUGUCCGGAUUUAUUGGGCGUAAAGAGCUCGUAGGCGGUUCGGCAAGUCGAAUGUGAAAUCUCCACGCUCAACGUGGAGGGGUCAUUCGAAACUGCCGUGACUCGAGUCCGGUAGGGGAGUGUGGAAUUCCCGGUGUAGCGGUGAAAUGCGCAGAGAUCGGGAGGAACACCCGUAGCGAAGGCGGCACUCUGGGCCGUGACUGACGCUGAGGAGCGAAAGCGUGUGGAGCAAACAGG
rnacentral:rRNA from 1 species